UUCAACGUAAUACUACAAGCCAGCAAUUCCUCUGUUGCACCACUAGGGGGCAUUAACAGUUACAGGUAGAGAGGGAAGGGCCGAGAAGGCAGCAGGUUCAUGUAAACAACAACACAAUAAGAUUUAAAUGGUAA